CUCCGUGUUGUAAUAGGCGUGAUCGGGGUCUCGGGAUGUAACGUGUCAGGCUCCUCCCCAUGUGUUAGGUACGUGCCACGUGUACCAUCCAGUGGGCGUACACGAAGGGUUAAAAGAUAUAUAAGUGCUUGUUAGAACUUAAUAAACGCCAUUUUGCCGCUCAUCAUAUUGGUGUCACCUCGGUAUUUGGCCAAGCCGCAGGCUCCCCUAAGCAACGAACAUCACGGUUGCCUGCGAAAGGCAACAAGUGGUGACCCCGACGUGAUGCUUAGGGGAAGGAGUCGGCUGUCUGCUUGACGGGGCAGGAGCCCACCGCGGAGCGUUAGCACUUGCUGGGCGGUGGAAGCCGGGGGACAAGCCCGGGGACAGAGGGAAUCUGCAGUCACCCCUCUGUCGGUGGAGGUCGCGGACGAGCGACGGAUAUACCCUCUGGAAUCACGCCGGAGAAGAGCCUGGGAUCCUGGUCUCAAUCGGGAGGAGGAUCGGGGGCGUCAUGGAAGCCGUCAUAAAGGCGUGGCUACUGGGGAAGCCGAAGACCCCGACACCGGAGAAGCGGAAAAAAAAAAAAAAACACUUAUAUGGGUGCGUGGACCACCGAAGACAAGCCAGGACACGGACCCGGCAACACAGCCGUUACUGCCCACACCGAGAAAUUUGGUUCUAUCUCUGCUAAUGUGUCUAUGUUCUUUGCCAGGGGGUGGCACGGCUAUUGACUUCUUGCUUUUAGCUCAAAGCCACGGAUGUGAGGAUGUCGAAGGGUUCUGUUGCUUCAACUUAAGUGAUCACAGCGCAUCGAUCCAUAAACAACUACAGUGGAUGCAAGGCCACACACAGAAGAUCAAGAUGCAGGCCGAUCCCUUCGGUGAAUGGUUGGAGGGUCUGUUUGGGGAAUUAGAGCCAUGGCUAAAACAAAUGCUUAAAACGCUUAUCGUAGUUUUAGCAAUAUUCUUGGCUAUUAUGCUCUGUCUUCCAUGCUUUGUUCAGCUUCUUAAGGCAUGCUUAAGAAACUUCAUAGAGGAAAUCUCACGUCAGCAGUACGCGUAUCAGCGCAUUCAGGAGCAAUUAUAGACGCACUUAGGAAUAGAAAUAGAGUUAGGAUUUGCGUUCGCGUUGUUACGGGUCAGCUUUCUGUGGCAUGGGGAGGGGGAGAUGUUGUAAUAGGCGUGAUCGGGGUCUCGGGAUGUAACGUGUCAGGCUCCUCCCCAUGUGUUAGGUACGUGCCACGUGUACCAUCCAGUGGGCGUACACGAAGGGUUAAAAGAUAUAUAAGUGCUUGUUAGAACUUAAUAAACGCCAUUUUGCCGCUCAUCAUAUUGGUGUCACCUCGGUAUUUGGCCAAGCCGCAGGCUCCCCUAAGCAACGAACAUCACGGUUGCCUGCGAAAGGCAACAGCUCCGCUCGGCAGCCGGUAACGUCUGAGUGCAAAAACACAGUGAGCUGAUGGAACUCCGUGUGAAGCUCAUCCAACAUCCAAACGUGCUUUGAACACCUCC
rnacentral:lncRNA from 1 species